AGAUUGAACGCUGGCGGCAGGCCUAACACAUGCAAGUCGAGCGGCAGCACGGGUACUUGUACCUGGUGGCGAGCGGCGGACGGGUGAGUAAUGCCUAGGAAUCUGCCUGGUAGUGGGGGAUAACGCUCGGAAACGGACGCUAAUACCGCAUACGUCCUACGGGAGAAAGCAGGGGACCUUCGGGCCUUGCGCUAUCAGAUGAGCCUAGGUCGGAUUAGCUAGUUGGUGAGGUAAUGGCUCACCGAAGGCGACGAUCCGUAACUGGUCUGAGAGGAUGAUCAGUCACACGUGGA
rnacentral:rRNA from 1 species